rnacentral:rRNA from 1 species
GAGCGCCCCGCAAGGGGAGCGGCAGACGGGAGAGUAACACGUGGGAACGUACCCUUCAGUUCGGAACAACCCAGGGAAACUUGGGCUAAUACCGAAUACGUCCGUAAGGAGAAAGAUUUAUCGCUGAAGGAUCGGCCCGCGUCUGAUUAGCUUGUUGGUGAGGUAAUGGCUCACCAAGGCGACGAUCAGUAGCUGGUCUGAGAGGAUGAUCAGCCACAUUGGGACUGAGACACGGCCCAAACUCCUACGGGAGGCAGCAGUGGGGAAUAUUGGACAAUGGGCGAAAGCCUGAUCCAGCCAUGCCGCGUGAGUGAUGAAGGCCUUAGGGUUGUAAAGCUCUUUUACCCGGGAAGAUAAUGACGGUACCGGGAGAAUAAGCCCCGGCUAACUUCGUGCCAGCAGCCGCGGUAAUACGAAGGGGGCUAGCGUUGUUCGGAAUUACUGGGCGUAAAGCGCACGUAGGCGGAUCUUUAAGUCAGGGGUGAAAUCCCGAGGCUCAACCUCGGAACUGCCUUUGAUAC